GCCGGGUGCAGUGGUGCGUGCCUGUAGUCCCAGCUACUCGGGAGGCUGAGGUGGGAGGAUCGCUUGAGCCCAGGAGUUCUGGGCUGUAGUGCGCUAUGCCGAUUGGGUGUCUGCACUAAGUUCAGCAUCAAUAUGGUGACCUCCCAGGAGUGGGGGACCACCAGGUUGCCUAAAGAGGGGUGAACCGGCCCAGGUCGGAAAUGGAGCAGGUCAAAACUCCUGUGCUGAUCAGUAGUGGGAUUGCGCCUGUGAAUAGCCACUGCACUCCAGCCUGGGCAACAUAGCAAGACCCCAUCUCU
rnacentral:SRP_RNA from 1 species